CCUACGGGUGGCAGCAGUGAGGAAUAUUGGUCAAUGGCCGAGAGUCUGAACCAGCACAGUAGCGUGAAGGAUGACUGUCCUAUGGGUUGUACACUUCUUUUAUAUGGGAAUAAACUGUUCCACGUGUGGGAUUUUGUCUGUACCUUAUGAAUAAGGAUCUGCUAACUCCGUGCCCGCAGCAGCGGUAAUACGGUGGAUCCGAGCGUUCUACGGAUGUAUGGGGGGUAAAGGGAGAGUAGGUGGAUUGUUAAGUCAGUUGGGAAAGGUGGCGGCUCAACCGUAAAAUUGCAGUUGAAACUGGCAGGCUUGAGUACAGUAGAGGUGGGCGGAAUUCGUGGUGUAGCGGUGAAAUGCUUAG
rnacentral:rRNA from 1 species